UACGUAGGGGGCAAGCGUUGUCCGGAAUCAUUGGGCGUAAAGAGCGCGUAGGCGGUCCGGUAAGUCGGUUGUGAAAACUGGGGGCUCAACCCUCAGAGGCCGACCGAUACUGCCGGGCUAGAGUCCGGAAGAGGCGAGUGGAAUUCCUGGUGUAGCGGUGAAAUGCGCAGAUAUCAGGAGGAACACCGGUGGCGAAGGCGGAUCUCUGGGCCGAUAUUGACGCUGAAGAGCGAAAGCGUGGGGAGCAAACAGG
rnacentral:rRNA from 1 species